rnacentral:lncRNA from 1 species
AUGUUCUGUUGCCCAGCACUGGGGGGCCUCUGGCCCCACCAGCCCCCCAGGGAUGGGGCCUUUAGCCCCAGACAGGCAGCGAUGCUUCCAGUUCCAGAAUCUUAUCUCAGUAGCUUCUUUCUCAGGCAAUUCCUAGAACCAACUGUCAGGAGCUGGGUUCUCCGGGAAGCAGAUGCAGACGAAAAUCUGAGUGCAGGAGUGAUCUGUUUGCAGAAUGGAAGCAAAGGACGUAUGAUUGGGGACAGGAAGAAGUUCAGUCCUGAUUCAAGCCAAAAGAGGCCUCAGCAGCCCACGAGGAGCCGAGAGGAACAUCCAGAGACCUCCCAGCUGGGAAGGGGACCCCUUCCCCAUAAAGUUCAAUGUGCGUAUCCGCUGAGGCCAUUACCGGUGACGAUGAUCCAAAGGGGGAGCGGGGUAGAAAGCCAGGCUCCAAAGAGGAGGCUAUUGGGUCACGUGUCGCUGAAAUGCUUCGCCCUGUUGAUGGCCAGGUAAGACAGCGUGGCCACGGGCCUGGCCACUGAGGGAGGGCACAGGCCUGGAUGGGGUCAAGAGCCCUGACAAGGUUCUGACCCGGCGGUGACACUCGUGAGUGCUGCUGAGAUUCCUGUGUCUCUGUGCACAGGUCACACUCGCGGUCCUGCGACCGGGGUUGGGCACGGGCAUUUGGAAAGCAAACCCGCCAGGGCCCGCUUCCUCAAGUGCAUUUUAUGACCACAAAGGCCAUCCCAGCCAGGAGCCACGCGAGGCAAGCCACCGUCCGCAGUGUCAUCAGCCUCCAGCCAGUAUGAACACUUUUUAUCAGUCCCCACAAUCUCCCUCCAGACGGCAGGGCUCCCUGUGAGUUGAGGGUUUUGUUGUUGUUGCUGCUUUUGGUGAGUGCUUGAAAUACCGCUAGCAUGGGGGAGAAGCUGAACUUGAAAUUUUCAUUCGUUCUAAAUGAUUUAAAUUUAAAUCCAAAAGCUAAAAACAGAGUAACAUAUUUUUCCACUAAUACAUCAUGGUUGGAAAACUUUUAGGUGUCUUUGGAGCAACCGAGUACCCGAGCCUAUUUCUUCACCUGCACAUUUUAUGAGAUCGGAACGUCCGUGAAGAAUUUCCAGAAGAAAGUGAGCAUCUGACCUGGGGUGGGCUGCCUGUGGACCACAUGCCCCGGGGGCUGCAGACUUCAUAGGAGGGAAAGGAUACAGAACAUCUCACGAACAGCGUUCACGUUGAUUACACAUUGAAAUGAUAAUAUUCUUGGGAUACGCCGGCUUAAGUAAAAUACAUAAUUAAACUUAAUUGCACCUGCUUCUUUUGAAAGGAUCUUUUUAACGUUUAUUUAUUUAUUUUUGAGAGAGAGAGAGAGAAAAAAAAAAGCAUGAGUGGGGGAGGGGCAGAGACAGCGGGAGGGAGAGGAUCUGAGCUGUCAGCACAGAGCCUGCCCCGGGGCUCCAACCCAUGAACCAUGAGAUCAAGCCCUGAGUCGAAGUCGGACACCCAACCGACUGAG